CAACAACGAAAACAACGUUGUACCAACUGCUGGCAGUGCAACCAAAUGGCCCCACUUCAUACGCUGCCAAUACUGAACGCAGAGGGAUGUGGAGGCAGAAAGCAGGGAUUUGUGCAGAUGGGGAGAUGGGAAAUAACGGCCCCAUCUUAUUAAGAAGCAGGCAAAAUGAAUCAGGAGACAAGGAGGGCAUGCAGCUGUCUCUGAAGAGUGGCCAAAGUGGAGCAAACGCAGACGUGGGACAACCCUGGGAAGAGCAGCACUCAUCUGCAUGCCAGCCUCC